rnacentral:rRNA from 1 species
GUACACUCCUACGGGAGGCAGCAGUGGGGAAUUUUGGACAAUGGGCGAAAGCCUGAUCCAGCAAUGCCGCGUGAGUGAAGACGGCCUUCGGGUUGUAAAGCUCUUUUGUCAGGGAAGAAACGGUGAGAGCUAAUAUCUCUUGCUAAUGACGGUACCUGAAGAAUAAGCACCGGCUAACUACGUGCCAGCAGCCGCGGUAAUACGUAGGGUGCAAGCGUUAAUCGGAAUUACUGGGCGUAAAGCGUGCGCAGGCGGUUUUGUAAGUCUGAUGUGAAAUCCCCGGGCUCAACCUGGGAAUUGCAUUGGAGACUGCAAGGCUAGAAUCUGGCAGAGGGGGGUAGAAUUCCACGUGUAGCAGUGAAAUGCGUAGAUAUGUGGAGGAACACCGAUGGCGAAGGCAGCCCCCUGGGUCAAGAUUGACGCUCAUGCACGAAAGCGUGGGGAGCAAACAGGAUUAGAUACCCCUGUAGUCCC